rnacentral:misc_RNA from 1 species
AAGUCGUAACAAGGUCUCCGUAGGUGAACCUGCGGAAGGAUCAUUAACACGUAUCCACGUAUCAACCAAUGAGAACCUGUUUUCCCGUCUCCCUGUGCAAAGAAUGAAUUGGAACCAGUUUGAGGGAGUGAUGGGACCGAAAGGUCGGCCUUCCUGGUAUACUUAUGUAAAUAGAAAUGUUUGCAUAGACAAUUGUAUUUUUGUUACAGGCUAUUUCUUAUCGCUUUGAUCCCCAUCAUGAUCGUGGCGGUAGGGAAACUUUCACUAUAUUUACCUUUUUUGCUAGUUGACUUUUUAUAUGUGUUGUCUUGCGAAAGCAUGGUGGCACACGUUUAUUAAUUGAACGUUAAAAAAUACAACUCUUAGCAAUGGAUAUCUUGGUUCUC